GAUGAACGCUGGCGGCGUGCCUAAUACAUGCAAGUCGAGCGAACAGACGAGGAGCUUGCUCCUUUGACGUUAGCGGCGGACGGGUGAGUAACACGUAGGUAACCUACCUAUAAGACUGGGAUAACUUCGGGAAACCGGAGCUAAUACCGGAUAAUAUUUCGAACCGCAUGGUUCGAUAGUGAAAGAUGGCUUUGCUAUCACUUAUAGAUGGACCUGCGCCGUAUUAGCUAGUUGGUAAGGUAACGGCUUACCAAGGCAACGAUACGUAGCCGACCUGAGAGGGUGAUCGGCCCCACUGGAACUGAGCCACGGUCCAGACUCCUACGGGAGGCAGCAGUAGGGAAUCUUCCGCAAUGGGCGAAAGCCUGACGGAGCAACGCCGCGUGAGUGAUGAAGGUCUUCGGAUCGUAAAACUCUGUUAUUAGGGAAGAACAAACGUGUAAGUAACUGUGCACGUCUUGACGGUACCUAAUCAGAAAGCCACGGCUAACUACGUG
rnacentral:rRNA from 1 species